AUAAUACUCCAUAGAUUAGAGACACUGGAAUGUUCUUUAGUCGAAAGUUCUGGCGCCUUAGGAUGGAUCUGCGGUCGAUUAGGUUGUUGUUGGGGUAACGGCCCAACAAGCCUGUAAUCGAUACGGGUUGUGGGAGCAAGAGCCCGGAGAUGGGAUCUGAGACACGAUUCCAGGCCCUACGGGGCGCAGCAGGCGCGAAAACUUUACAAUGCAGGAAACUGUGAUAAGGGAACUCCGAGUGCCCGUAUACGCGGGCUGUCCAGGUGUUUAAAAAUCAUCUGAAGAAAGGGCCGGGCAAGACCGGUGCCAGCCGCCGCGGUAAUACCGGCGGCUCGAGUGGUGGCCACUAUUAUUGGGCUUAAAGCGUCCGUAGCUGGACCGAUAAGUCUCUUGGGAAAUCCGCCGGCUCAACCGGCGGGCGUCUAAGGGAUACUGUUAGUCUAGGGACCGGGAGAGGUGAGAGGUACUCCGGGGGUAGGAGUGAAAUCCUGUAAUCCCCGGGGGACCACCGAUGGCGAAGGCAUCUCACCAGAACGGCUCCGACAGUGAGGGACGAAAGCUGGGGGAGCGAACCGGAUUAGAUACCCGGGUAGUCCCAGCCGUAAACUAUGCGCGUUAGGUGU
rnacentral:rRNA from 1 species